rnacentral:rRNA from 1 species
UACGUAGGGUGCGAGCGUUGUCCGGAUUUAUUGGGCGUAAAGAGCGUGUAGGCGGCUUUACAGGUCCGUUGUGAAAACUCGAGGCUCAACCUCGAGACGCCGGUGGAAACCGUAAAGCUAGAGUCCGGAAGAGGAGAGUGGAAUUCCUGGUGUAGCGGUGAAAUGCGCAGAUAUCGGGAGGAACACCAGUGGCGAAGGCGACUACCUGGCCUGUUCUUGACGCUGAGGCGCGAAAGCUAGGGGAGCAAACGGG